CUUGAAAGAAUCCACCGCGACCGAAUCAAAAUAACCAAUCAGAGCCAGGAGGCGUGUCUAAUUGAGUGUCAAUCACGCAUACGAAUAAGGGACAUCGAGAACUUUGCAAAAGCAAUGAUGGAUAAGCGAGCGCCUUCAGUUAAAAAAACGACCCAUCCCUCCUUCCAACAACAGCUUACACGACAAAGACGACAAUGUUGACAUUUCACAACGUGCGCAGCUGACUCCUCUGAGGGGAGGCGGGACUGCAGCGAAAGGGGGGCGGCGUCUGGUAGUUGUACUCGUGUGGAAUUUUCCAAGGUAUAAGCGCUCUCAUUACAGUCUUAUCGACAGCAACUUUAAUGAUGAUUUAGAAGGGAGUCAUUUAUUUGGUCUCAGAUGACAAGAAGAAAUUAAUAAUUAAGUUUUUCCUUUUUUUUUUCAAAAUGACAGGGAGCUGUUCCUAAAUGUUUGGUGAGCCUCUGCUCUUGCAAAUAACCUCUUACAACUUUAGCGCUAAAUUGUGCCAGUACGUGCAAUAUAUGGUGAAAUGAACGUGGUGUUGUGCAAUACCGCCAUCUACUGGACGAAUCCUCUAUUCCUAUCAUUCAACCCUAUUACUGGGGGCAGAUAAAAGCAUAGUCUUCAAGCUUCACUGGACACUGGGAAGGAGACCUGAAUGCGACUGAGAGUCAAGCACGCUGCUGUUGUGUACUUCAGCGCUGCCGUGUGCCUUCGGUAAUCAUUAACGUAGAUUAGCUGCCAACCACCUUUACGGUCAUUGCUCUCAAUGUCAAAAGCUGUCCUAGCAUUUCCACAGGCUUUUGUUGUUACUGUUGUCGUUGGUACUGUUGAAAACAAAGGGCAGGAUUGGGAAGGAGUUUUCCUGCAAGGUCCAUGAGAGGAAUGAGAAGGCGUGCGCGAUGCUUAACAUAUAAAUCCAAUGGAUGUGCAGGUUCCAUGCAAUCUCUCAAGCCUCGAGUGUGUUGAAGCCUCAGGACCCGUAGCAGUCAUCAUCAUUCCCGGUCUCCUGGCUCUCGCUACGCUGACCAUCGUCUCUCUGAUUAUAUGGAGCUUCCUGACGAGGACUCGCGAAAACAGGCGCCGUUGCUUCUGGUGUGGUGGUUAACACUCACGAGUAUUGGCACGAUGUGGUCAAACAAGAGAGAUUUUUGAGAAAUUCACAUAAUGUUUUUGCCGCACCAGCAUGAAAAGCAGCUAAAGAGCCGGAACCUGCCACUCUGUGGUCAAAUGAUAGCAUGCGCAAAGUUAUGUUUAACACAGAGCUCUGAAGUCAACUACCCAGAAUGAAACAGUUUAGCGGUGUGAUCAUUUAUAAGUGCAGCAGAAGGGAAUGUGGAGCAGAAGGGAAUGUGGCCUUGAACCGACUGUUUAAUCUCCUCUGACAUUGUUACAAACUGGAAAAUAUUAACGACAUCCUUCCAAGAGGCAGCAUUAAUACUGUUUUGAGAACAUAUAUCUGUCACACUUAAUCACAAUUUAAAAAAAAGAAGCAAAUGGUAUCCAAACAGGAUAUUCAGGUUUAUAUUUUAUGUUAGGAUUUGAUAAAACACCCCCUUCUGCAUGACGUCUUGUUCAUGUCAUGUAUGUUAUUUAUAUAUUCAUUUACAAAUAUUAAAAUAUGUUAUAUAUUAAAUGUGUGCUAUAUUAUACAUACAUACGUACUACAAAUAUAUUUUGCCCAUCUGUGGCCUCUUCCUCUAUUACCCAUUUGCCAUGGCACAUAGAUUAUUUAAGGUUUUGCGUUAGAUGACAUUCAAGAGUCCCUGUUUGCAGGAGCACAAACAACCGCGAGUCCAAAGUAUUUGUGGCGCUGGCCGGGCUCGACGUGGCGCCUGGCCUACACGACCGCACAGCGGGAACGCUUCCCACGGACCUCCACGCACUGCAGUAAACCUGCUGCUCCUUCGAUGGCAGCUUCAAGAGGAGAAAAUUGCAAUUGUUGGAUAAAUGGAUGGAUAAUUUACAGAAAUUUUGGAAUAUGUGCCGGGUAGGGUCGGUCCGUAAUAUCUAAUGGCCAGUCAAGUCUGCUUCGGGACCGAUGAGUCGCCUUCUUACCCAAACUGCACGGUCUGCAAUUUCUAUAAGUACAGAAGUGAGCUCUUUCCGGUCUCAGGACUACCUGCUGUGAGCCUACAGUCUGGUGCACGGCGAUCGUUGGUGGUGUCAGGAUUCGUCUUGGCGUCGCAGGUUAAGACGGUGGGAAAGGUAGAGGCAGCUCAAGAGCCUCGGAAAACGCAGGCGCCAGUGCGACACGCGAGGAUCCGCGUCCCAGCAAAGAGUGACACGCAAGUGUGCGACCACGCUGUGAGUUAGCUCGAGUCACUCAUCAACGUUAAUGCCGACACUGUCAUACCGCCUUCAGGGAAAGAUCAUUACCGAGUACACCCUGCUAACGUGCUUAAGGAGUUUUGUAAGGAUUUCUUCUGGAAUCUCUGGAUUGCUUUUAUGUUUUACUCCAUUAUUGAAAGGAAUAAAGAACGGACUUCAGUCCAACCUUUCUGGUUCACUCCACUUUGGGAAAAGAAGUAAUCAGUUUGGCUCACCCAAUCUCUCAUCAAGGACUAUUUGAAAACCUUUGGAGCAUAAACAACUUACAGUUUUAGAUUGAUACAAAUUCAUUAUACAUACUUUAUAUAUUAUGAUUACACAUGAUCAAAAACGCACUUUUGUAAACAUUUUAAUUCAGAAGUAAUAAAAUUAGAGCAGUUCAAUUGUAGAUAGAUAGCGCAGUACACGCAUCACUGUACAUUGUUUUAGAUCUAAAGUAUUUGUAUCAUAAAAUGUUCCAUGUCCACCAAAUUUCUUACAACGGUCAACUACCUGGGAUAUAAAACUCUUAAGGUGCUGCUUCCUUCAUUAAACCUAUCGUUGUUGUUGUUGUUUUUUUUCUUCCAAAUAUUGUCAUGGAGUAAUGUUAAUCAAACUGUACAUUCAAUUCUGUUUUCAGUAGUAAUCUAAAAUCAAGAUUCUACCAAAAAAAGAAUCACCCAAAAUGUCCCUGCUUGUGGUGCUACUCUCGCAGGUGCCUCUCGAGGGUGUGACCUCAUGAUCAAAUGCUACAUGUGCAACUUUUGAUAGCUUUUCUCAACACACCGAUAGGGUCAUGCAGCCAUCUGACUGAUAUCAGACCCUCCGCCACGACGACCUCAACACCUACACUGAAGAUCCGGAGACGACGUUCACAAACAUUGUGUGCGUGAUAAACGGGACAGCGCAGCUGGCCUUUUCCAAAAGUGUUUCACUGGCACCCCCUAGUGGCGCAGCCGAAGCGCAUUUACACUUGCAGGGUCGCUAGUUUGAGCCCCAGUGAUGCCCAGCAAUGCUAAAGCCGUUCGCAGUUCGGAGUUCAAGGGAGCAAAAAAUGGGAGGAACACUACCUACUGUAGCAAAAAGCUGCAACCAGCCAAUCGUGGACGACCGUGUGCUUCUUGUGCUUGCUGGUGAAGGUUGGUUAACGCUUUCCGCAGACUGCGUUCAGCUGCCCUGCGUCUUAGUGUGAGCAGCAGCUUGAGAAGAUGCAGUGCUUGGCUUUGCGUGUCUCACGUUCUCGCCAAACGCGCCACGGCUGGGUAGCUCUCAUAUGUUCUGAGGCUUAGCUAGCUGGUGGGUGGGAACUGGCAUAAUAAUUAAGUUUGGAGAAAAACAAAGGAAAAAAUUAAGAGUUCGAUGAUUUUUUUCUUCUUUUAAAAAACAUCUUCAUAGUUGUCAGUUUAUUAAAGAUGCAACAGACCGUGCUCAAAUCAACAGGGGUAAAAGAUGUUAUGUUCAGUACUCCACUGAAUCAAAGGUUAGUGCCAUUCUUCCUUGGAACCUAUAAAGUUUGUGGGAGCUACUUAUGGAAAAUGAAACACCUGUAUAUGAAAUUACUUUAGCCUGGUAAUCAGAAACCCCUUAAAACAGAGGCCAGAAUGCACAGCAGCAACUGCAACCCACUCAGCCAAGUGUAAUUAAUGCACAAGGUGAACUAAGAAAUGCAAAUGUUUACCUGUCUUAGGCUUUUAUUAUGUAGUAACAAGUCAAGAGGAACUGAAAGGAAGGACAAGCUGUAUCCCGUGCCAGUUUGGUCCUCUCUGAAUGAUGCUAAAGUGAUCUCGUUGAAAAUGACAGUGGUUGGUGUGUGUAAACACUUGAUUUAGAGUUCUUGCUUGUAUGAAUGACAAUUUAGAGCUGUUGAGUCCGCUUUGAAUAUUUGGGCAUUUCCUCACACACACAUCACUUUGAGUAUUUUGACUAGAUAUCCAAUCAAUCAGUAUGCCAAUUAUUCUAAAUAUAUGCAUGAUGUGAUCUACAUUAUAGUUGUGGUCUGUAUUUCAACAAUAUCAACUCUCAAAACAUCCACCAAAACAGUAUAAUCGACAGCAGCACUAACAUCCUCUAAUGUUU